rnacentral:rRNA from 1 species
GUUUACGGCCAUACCACCUUAGGCACGCCCGAUCUCGUCUGCUCUCGGAAGCUAAGCAGGGUCGGGCCUGGUUAGUACUUGGAUGGGUGACCGCCUGGGAAUACCAGGUGCUGUAAGCA